rnacentral:rRNA from 1 species
UAAUAUGAACCCGGUCUAUAACUAAUUCGAUUAUUUUGCGACCUACUAUUAAAUCCUGUAUUUAUUAAUUUUAUUUACUGCAUUUCAGCUACCCCUAGUUUAAGCUAUGUGUCAUUUGGGGAAAAUUUAAAUGAACACUUAUUUUUUAACAACCACACACAAACUUUAAAAUAGUAAACAAAAUUGAGGAAUGUCAAAUUAUGAGCCAAAAUUCUCUAAUCAGGAUAAACCGCUGCCAUGUAGUUUAGGUUUUUUAUAAUACCUAAAAUUUGUACAUACCUGGCUUCUACCCCAGUUUUGUCAGAGGGUUUGGAGGUCAUAACUUUUUUUCUAAAAGCCGCAAAACUGGAGAAGAAAAAGAAUUUAAAGUGUUACUAAAUAAAAUUUUAUUUUAAAAGUA